CUGGGAACAUGGCUGCAGACAUGGCCCUAGUGCUCAUUGCGGGGCUGAAGUUGCAGCCUGGAUGUUGCACAGGGCACUCACUGGCAGGACGAGGAGCCGUGAUGGUUCUGUGCCACCAAAUUUUACACUGGGUACCCAGACCUCAUUAACAGGAGUGAGAUGAUUGUGUGUGAGUGGGGGGCCCACCUCUGAGCCAUGCUCCCCUGCUUGUAUAUUCAGCUGUGGACUCACACGUUAAGCUCCCCCUCCACUGGAGCCCAAGCACCAUCCCUGCUGCCUUCUGAGCAGGAGGAAGGGCCAGCGCUGUGUCCUCAAUUCCUUGGACUCCCAGGGGUUCCUCCAACACCAGAACAUGGGCACAAGGCACACCAGUGCCCUACUACCCCAGUGCAUCACCAGCAGCCUCGCCCCCCAUGGCCGCCAGCACUCCCCAUCCCCUUGCAGCCCCUCACCCCUUGCAGCUCUCUGACAGCAGCCUCCUGCCGCAGAGCAGCCUCCAGGAGCAGAUGGAGGCAGGAUGGAGCCCGCCGGAGAUACUGACCACAUCUGCUCCUGCCUGGUCCAGGGAGCAGCGAUGCACUGUGCCGACCACUAUCUGGAGCACACGUUUGGGGAUGGAGGACAGUGCAGUGACUGCUGAUCCAAGCAGUGUUCCAGCGCCUUCAGGAGGUGGCAAGAGAAGACACAGGAGGCUGGGGACACAAGGGGUUGGAGUCACAAGAGAGCCUCUCAGGGCAGAUGGAAGGAGAACGCCUCCGCUGUGGUCAGUCCCUGAAGACAAAGUGGAUGCUGCUGGCACACUGGAAUGACGGCACGGGUUUGCUGACGGUUUUGCAUGGGAGCAUCGGUUGGGUUUACACCUACAAGUGCUUGGCUAUGGCAGCGGGGCAUCCCAUGGAAAGGCCAAAAAGCAGCAGAGAGAUCCAGGGAAGGAGGAGAUGGCACACGCUGCAAGCCUGUUCUCUGUCAGCGACGCUGCUGGGAGCACGGACACCCAUAGUGGAGCCAGCAGCUGAGGACAGCUCACAGGAGAGGAAAAAAAUGGAGCCAAGGAUGGCACUGUCUCUUUAAAAAUAAAUAAAUAGAUAAAGACUAAAAAAAAAAAAAAGAAAGAAAAAAUGCAAUAAGUAUAUGCAAAUGUGUUGAGCCGAACAUCGCUGUCUGUGAAACAGAUGAGGGAGAAAGUGCUUGAAGCUAGAGAGGAAUGAGGCAGCCAGCGCUGACCCCGGGGUUAAUAAUUUUUACUUCUCCAUCUCAUUCCCUCCAUAAAAAAG
ensembl:lncRNA